GACGUAGGGCGCGAGCGUUGUCCGGAAUUAUUGGGCGUAAAGAGCUCGUAGGCGGUUUGUCGCGUCGAAUGUGAAAACCCGGGGCUCAACCCCGGGCCUGCAUUCGAUACGGGCAGACUAGAGUUCGGUAGGGGAGUCUGGAAUUCCUGGUGUAGCGGUGAAAUGCGCAGAUAUCAGGAGGAACACCGGUGGCGAAGGCGGGACUCUGGGCCGAUACUGACGCUGAGGAGCGAAAGCGUGGGGAGCGAACAGG
rnacentral:rRNA from 1 species